rnacentral:rRNA from 1 species
UACGUAGGGCGCAAGCGUUGUCCGGAAUUAUUGGGCGUAAAGAGCUCGUAGGCGGUCUGUCGCGUCCGUUGUGAAAACUCGAGGCUCAACCUCGGGCUUGCAGUGGAUACGGGCAGACUAGAGUGUGGUAGGGGAGACUGGAAUUCCUGGUGUAGCGGUGGAAUGCGCAGAUAUCAGGAGGAACACCGAUGGCGAAGGCAGGUCUCUGGGCCGCAACUGACGCUGAGGAGCGAAAGCAUGGGGAGCAAACAGG